rnacentral:lncRNA from 1 species
CCUUCCCAGAUGGGAGGACAUGGAAGCUGGACCUGGAAGGAAGGGGCAAGAGCUGAGGGAAAUCCAAUCUAAGCAGAAGGAACUUCUCGUGGAAAAGCGUAUCUUUACUAGAAGCAUGCUGAGCUUCCAGAUUCAGCAGAGCUCCUCUUAGCUGUCUGCCAGACAGUGUUGGGGGCAGCUGGAAGUGUGUGAAAGGGGUCUCCCAUGGCACACCAAGAAAUAAGACCUUCUCCAUUGGAGAGUGGGGGGCCACGGAGGUUUUGUUCACCUUAGAAACUUCACACUGCAGCAAUGAGGGGGAGAGCAAGGUGGACAGAGCUGCUGUGUCUUGGGGAGCCCAAGUAUAGCUCUCCUGAAUGCCAAGGUCUACAUGCAGGGAGAAGCUUUACCAAUCAAGUGGUCCCUCAAGUCUAAACAAGUGGCACCGUGGCAGAAGUUACUGACAAAGUAGCAGGGGCGGCUCCUGGGCGGGUGCAGGGACAGUGUGCAGCUCUCACAUCAGUGUGGGAGGUCAUCGUACCUGCUUUUCCAGAUCACCCAUCAAGCCAGAAGAAGGCCCCAUGUUGGACUGCAGCUCUGAUAAGUGUGCCAGUCAUUGGGAUUAUGAACCAUAAUGCCCAUCAUCAGUACACAGUGGGGUUGAACCAGCAGCAGCAGCACUUUCCUUUUGUGAUCAAAGUGCCCCGGAUGAACACGGCCAUAUCUGAUAUAAAUUCAGUGUUGAUGUCUCAGAGCAUUUAUGAGAGCAACUUAGAGCCAUGAUGAAGAGUGAAGCAGGCAUGGCCGUUAGCAAUAUAAAGUCAUCUCUCUCUCCUACAUUUCAUACCUAUAUUGGCAAUAUAAAGGAAUCUCUCGCUCCUUCCACCCUUCUUCCACCCUCUUCUAUCCCUCUUCCACCCUUGAAAGGAGACAAAGCCAGUUCAUAUUCCAGAUGGGGCCACAGGUAGCACGUUCCUUCCCAGGUUCCUUCCCUGUCAUCACUCUGCCCACUCUUGUGCUCUUUCUAGCUCUAACUGUCACUCAGUUCCAAUUCUGGCUGCCACACGCCUUAGCCACACCAGGCUGCACCAUCUCAGCAGCAGGCUGUGAUAGGAGGACUGGCAGAGGUGGUUUACCUCAAGAGAUUCCUAUUGGAAGAGGAAGGAAAUAAGGAAGAACUGGCAAUAUAUGUAUAGAAUAGGCCUAUCUGUAGUGAUUUAGGAUAGAAUGGGGGAAUUGAAAGGAUAAGGAGGAGAAUUAACCCACCAGCACCUCCGUCAAGCUCUCAACAUUGAUAGAAGAAAGAAAUCACAACGAGGCAAAGACAAAGCCUUGCUUUUUAAGUGAGCCACAGCAGAAUGGACACCUGUCUAACAGAGUAAGAGCUCCAUGGGGAAAAGUCCAACAGCAUCAAGAUAUCCCUGUGAUCAAAACCAGCAAAUCAGCAGAGAUUAAAGUGCGGUCUCGCUCCAGAGAAUAAGAGCUGUGAAAGGAGCCUCGAGAUGUGGGGGCGGCAGACAGAGCCUGCACCUCGUGGAGCAGCGGAGGCAUGAUGGAUCCUUGCUGUGACUGGUGCCUGGACAUCCCUGCCAACCACCUUGGAGAAUGGCACCUUCUGAGUGUGCCUGAACCACUCUUCUCCUUGGCUACCACUCUGAGUACUAUCCCUAGAGACUACUGGCCACACACAUCCACAGUCUCAAUGUCCACAGAAGACAUUGUUUUGCAGCAUGCAAAAACAAUCUGAAAGAUGAUAAAAAGCAAUUUUCAUAAUUAAUAAAUUUCUACCUGCUGAUUAGGAAGUGUUAGAAAUAAAUAAACAAACAAACAAGUGUAAUUGUGACAUUUUGGCAAGGGUUCCAACUUAAGGACUGAAAUGUGCCCUUGCUCUGACUGUAUCUAAUUCAGUUCAAUUGAACAAACAUCCAUUGAAUAUCUAUUGUUUGUAAAGCUCUGGGCUAGCUGUUGUUCAGCAUAUGAUCUCUGUUCUCAGGUCAAAACAAAUGAGGCAGAAAAAGCUGAAUGCAUGAGAUGAAAACAAAAUUAAAAAUAAAACAGCCUUCUUCCUGGAGAUUCUAAUUCAAUAGGCUGGAUGGGGCCCAGGCAGCUAUAUUUUACCAAGCAUCAGCUCAGCCUGGUUCUGACCAGCAGGCAAGCACUCAGAAGGAGGCCAUCACUGUCUCUAAUUGGUGGUUGUCACAAAAAGCUGCAAAGGGGAGGUAUAGUCACCUUGAGAUAUUUCAACAACAACUGCAUGUUAAGUGCCUUGAAGGCACAGGUCAGACUUGGGCAAGUGGAGGACACAGAAGGGGGAUGUUUCCAGCAAGGAGCAGAGCUGUGGAGGCCGCAAAGUGCACCCUGAACGGCUGGCCCUCUUGAGAGAUGUCAAGAAGAACGUUGUUGGAACAGUUCAUUUCUAAAUGAACUCAUCAGCCUUACUUUUUUCCAUUAGUUCGCAUUUGGCCUCAUUUCUCAAUCCAGAAUGAUGCAAAGGAGCCAUAAACCUGAAUUAAGACAAACAAAAGUGACAUGGAUAAAUUUUCCUUGGACAUCAGAGCACCAGGGUUGAGAGAGGAGAGAGGAGGGCUCAUGUUUCAACUUGAGGCUUCCGCAGCUGCGUCCACAGCUGCGCCGCCAAGUUCAGAGUUGAGCAUUCAUGAGUGUGUGUCUUGUCAUGAACCAGGGGCCUCACUGUCACCACUAGGAGGACACACCAUAGACCUUCCUGGGCAACAAGAAAAGCUGAGCCACACUCUGCAAAUUCCAAAGGCCUGAGAGAAGUCCAGAGUCGGGACUUUUGAGGAAAACCAGUCCAUGCUAAAAAUUUGAAAAAUACAGAAAAUUAAGAAAAAACAGCAAGGCCCCAUAAUUAUGUAACACAGAGACUACCAGAAUAAUUAUGCAGAAAUAUUUCCUGCAUUUUUCCUUCAUGCGUUUUACAAGAUAGUUGGGACCACACAUUUUUGUAUUCUGCUUUUUUAAAUGGUUAACUAUUAUAGUAGAAGAAUUCCUCUUAUGUGAUUACAAAUAUAUCACAAAAUUAUUUCAAUAACCAUAACAUUUUAACACAUGAAUAUUUAUAAUAUAAUUAGCAAGGUAAUUCUAUUUUUGUAACUUUAGGUUUCUUUAAUUUUUCUCCAUUAUAAGUAAUGCUAAUUAAGCAGGCAUGACCAUGGGCCAAUGAAAAUAUCUAAGUCAAAAGCAGCAAUUUGUCUAUAGAUUUGAGUUUUUAAAAAAUGAUUAAAAACAAUACGUCAAUGUCAUAGAUGCCACUACUUUUGGAAAACAGUUUAUUGCAUCUUUCUCUGUUUAUCUGGUAUGAGUAUAAAUGGGCUUACAAUGAAAAAGCUCCCUUACCAAAGUGAUGUAGGAAUUAUUGCUUAGAGCUAUGAGACUGAGAGAUAGUGGGAUAUAAACAAAGGUCUCUUCUAAGGUCUUUAAAGGAGCUGGAAAAUACGUAGGUCAUGCAGAUGUUCCACUGCCGCCACCAGCCCCUCCUCCACCACUCCUCCCCUCCCCCUUGGGCCUCUUGCCUCCCUGCCCUCUGGUCUUGUCUUCAUUCUAGGGAAAGUCUCCCUCCAACAGCAGGCUGAUCCAGGCCCCCCUGGGGAGUGGGACCUUCUCCGUAUUCAGUAUUGGUGUCUGCAUCAAGGAUGGCAUGACAGUGGAACAUCCCUGAACAUAAAGAUUGGGAGAGUGAAAGGAAAAUAAAUCUCAGGACUUUAAAAGCACUAAGCCACAGGGAAAAUUCAUGCUGGGAAUUGUCUUGGGCCAACCUGCCUCCUAUUCUAUUCCUAAAUAAGAUAGCUACAAAGAUAAAAAAGCCAUAUACCCCCCUCACAAUUAUAAAAAAGCUAUAUACCUCCCUCACAACUAUAAAAAUGAUAUACACCUCCCUCCCUCUCUCACAAAAGGAAAUUCCUUGUGGACAAAUAACAGGCAGAACUCAAAGUCGUCCCUCUGCUCACACGAGACAAUGCAUACCUGAUUUUUUUCUUUUUUUGCCCUAUUGUUUCACUAAGCCAGACUAAGGCAUAAGUGACUAUUCCUGUAAAUUGUGUAUUCAGUGAAAAGCUAAUCAGAAACUCUAAAGAAUGUAACUGUUUUUUUCUUAUCUGCCUGUGACCUGGAAGCCCCCUCCCUGCUUGGCGUUGUCCUGCUUUCCGGACUGAAUCAAUGUACAUCUUACAUAUUAUACAAUGUACAUCUUACACAUAUAGAUUGAAGUCUCACGUCUCCCUAAAAUGUAUAAAACCAAGCUGUUCCCUGACCACCUUGGCUCAUGUUGUGAGGACCUCCUGAGGCUGCGUCACAGGUGCAUCCUUAACCUUGGCAAAAUAAACUUUCUAAAUUGAUUGAGACCCG